GAUGAACGCUGGCGGCGUGCCUAAUACAUGCAAGUCGAGCGAACAGACGAGGAGCUUGCUCCUCUGACGUUAGCGGCGGACGGGUGAGUAACACGUGGAUAACCUGCCUAUAAGACUGGGAUAACUUCGGGAAACCGGAGCUAAUACCGGAUAAUAUAUUGAACCGCAUGGUUCAAUAGUAAAAGACGGUUUUGCUGUCACUUAUAGAUGGAUCCGCGCCGCAUUAGCUAGUUGGUAAGGUAACGGCUUACCAAGGCAACGAUGCGUAACCGACCUGAGAGGAUGAUCGGCCACACUGGAACUGAGACACGGUCCAGACUCCUACGGGAGGCAGCAGUAGGGAAUCUUCCGCAAUGGGCGAAAGCCUGACGGAGCAACACCGCGUGAGUGAUGAAGGUCUUCGGAUCGUAAAACUCUGUUAUUAGGGAAGAACAAAUGUGUAAGUAACUAUGCACGUCUUGACGGUACCUAAUCAGAAAGCCACGGCUAACUACGUG
rnacentral:rRNA from 1 species